rnacentral:rRNA from 2 species
GAGUGGCGGACGGGUGAGUAACACGUGGGUAACCUGCCCUUAAGUGGGGGAUAACAUUUGGAAACAGAUGCUAAUACCGCAUAGAUCCAAGAACCGCAUGGUUCUUGGCUGAAAGAUGGCGUAAGCUAUCGCUUUUGGAUGGACCCGCGGCGUAUUAGCUAGUUGGUGAGGUAAUGGCUCACCAAGGCGAUGAUACGUAGCCGAACUGAGAGGUUGAUCGGCCACAUUGGGACUGAGACACGGCCCAAACUCCUACGGGAGGCAGCAGUAGGGAAUCUUCCACAAUGGACGCAAGUCUGAUGGAGCAACGCCGCGUGAGUGAAGAAGGCUUUCGGGUCGUAAAACUCUGUUGUUGGAGAAGAAUGGUCGGCAGAGUAACUGUUGUCGGCGUGACGGUAUCCAACCAGAAAGCCACGGCUAACUACGUGCCAGCAGCCGCGGUAAUACGUAGGUGGCAAGCGUUAUCCGGAUUUAUUGGGCGUAAAGCGAGCGCAGGCGGUUUUUUAAGUCUGAUGUGAAAGCCCUCGGCUUAACCGAGGAAGCGCAUCGGAAACUGGGAAACUUGAGUGCAGAAGAGGACAGUGGAACUCCAUGUGUAGCGGUGAAAUGCGUAGAUAUAUGGAAGAACACCAGUGGCGAAGGCGGCUGUCUGGUCUGUAACUGACGCUGAGGCUCGAAAGCAUGGGUAGCGAACAGGAUUAGAUACCCUGGUAGUCCAUGCCGUAAACGAUGAAUGCUAGGUGUUGGAGGGUUUCCGCCCUUCAGUGCCGCAGCUAACGCAUUAAGCAUUCCGCCUGGGGAGUACGACCGCAAGGUUGAAACUCAAAGGAAUUGACGGGGGCCCGCACAAGCGGUGGAGCAUGUGGUUUAAUUCGAAGCAACGCGAAGAACCUUACCAGGUCUUGACAUCUUUUGAUCACCUGAGAGAUCAGGUUUCCCCUUCGGGGGCAAAAUGACAGGUGGUGCAUGGUUGUCGUCAGCUCGUGUCGUGAGAUGUUGGGUUAAGUCCCGCAACGAGCGCAACCCUUAUGACUAGUUGCCAGCAUUUAGUUGGGCACUCUAGUAAGACUGCCGGUGACAAACCGGAGGAAGGUGGGGAUGACGUCAAAUCAUCAUGCCCCUUAUGACCUGGGCUACACACGUGCUACAAUGGAUGGUACAACGAGUUGCGAGACCGCGAGGUCAAGCUAAUCUCUUAAAGCCAUUCUCAGUU